rnacentral:rRNA from 1 species
UUUAAUUGAAUGCUAAGAGAAUGGAAACCCAGAAAAAGACUUUUUUUAAAUUAAAAAUUGAAAUUUUUUUAAUUUGUGCAGAAACAAUUAUUAAUAUUAAGGACAAGAAGACCCUAUGAAUUUAUAAAAUUUUAUUUAAUAUGUUAUAACUAUUAAAAAAAUUUUGGCUGGGGCGGCUAAAAAAUAUUUUAAACUUUUUAAAAAUAAAAUGAUCCAUUAUUAAUGAUUACAUGUUAAAUACUCUAGGGAUAACAGCGUUAUAUUUUUUGAUAGAUCAUAUUGACAAAAAAGUUUGCGACCUCGAUGUUGGAUUAGGAUACUUUUUUAAUGUAGAUAUUAAAAUAAGAAGUUUGUUCAACUUUUAAAAUCCUACUUGAU